rnacentral:rRNA from 1 species
AGAGAGAGACAUGCGCGCAUAUCAAUAAGCGGAGGAAAAGAAACUAACAAGGAUUCCCUUAGUAACGGCGAGUGAAGCGGGAAGAGCUCAAAUUUGAAAUCUUCAAGGUUUUACCUUGACGAAUUGUAGUUUAAAGAAGUGUUUUCUGCUGAAGUUUUGGUAAAAGUUCUUUGGAAUAGGACAUCAUAGAGGGUGAGAAUCCCGUAUUUGACCAUUAUUUUCAGCUUUGUGAUACACUUUCAAAGAGUCGGAUCGUUUGGGAAUGCAGUCCAAAAUGGGUGGUAAAUUUCAUCUAAAGCUAAAUAUUGGCGAGAGACCGAUAGCGAACAAGUACCGUGAGGGAAAGAUGAAAAGAACUUUGAAAAGAGAGUUAAACAGUACGUGAAAUUGUCAAAAGGGAAGCGUUUGACACCAGUGUUGUUUUCUCGAAAAUCAAUUAAAAAUGGCUCGAUUUUGUAUUGCUGAGACCUUAAAAGCUCACUGUACAUUUUUCGUGUCUUUUUUAAUGCACUUUUCGUUUAACAAGUCAACAUCAGUUUCUUUUGUUGUAAAAGGGUCAUUGGAAGGUGGCUUUCUUUUCGGAGAAAGUGUUUAUAGCCUUUGGCCUCUGCAAUCGAAGAGACUGAGGUCUGCAGCGUAGACUCCUUCGGGGUUAGAUACAUUUGUGCUAAGUUAUAGCCUUUCAUAGACAACUUGUUGACUAUGAUCAGUCAUGUAGCUUACUCGCUUAUGCUAUUUUACCUACGCUUAGGAUGUUGAAGAUGUAGCACAUCAU